rnacentral:rRNA from 1 species
UAGGGAAUCUUCCGCAAUGGGCGAAAGCCUGACGGAGCAACGCCGCGUGAGUGAUGAAGGUCUUCGGAUCGUAAAACUCUGUUAUUAGGGAAGAACAAAUGUGUAAGUAACUAUGCACGUCUUGACGGUACCUAAUCAGAAAGCCACGGCUAACUACGUGCCAGCAGCCGCGGUAAUAUGUAGGUGGCAAGCGUUAUCCGGAAUUAUUGGGCGUAAAGCGCGCGUAGGCGGUUUUUUAAGUCUGAUGUGAAAGCCCACGGCUCAACCGUGGAGGGUCAUUGGAAACUGGAAAACUUGAGUGCAGAAGAGGAAAGUGGAAUUCCAUGUGUAGCGGUGAAAUGCGCAGAGAUAUGGAGGAACACCAGUGGCGAAGGCGACUUUCUAGUCUGUAACUGACGCUGAUGUGCGAAAGCGUGGGGAUCAAACAGG